GACGAACGCUGGCGGCGUGCUUAACACAUGCAAGUCGAACGGUAAGGCCCUUCGGGGUACACGAGUGGCGGACGGGUGAGUAACACGUGGGUGAUCUGCCCUGCACUUCGGGAUAAGCCUGGGAAACUGGGUCUAAUACCGGAUAGGACCACUGCCUACAUGGGUGGUGGUGGAAAGCUUUUGCGGUGUGGGAUGGGCCCGCGGCCUAUCAGCUUGAUGGUGGGGUGAUGGCCUACCAAGGCGACGACGGGUAGCCGGCCUGAGAGGGUGACCGGCCACACUGGGACUGAGAUACGGCCCAGACUCCUACGGGAGGCAGCAGUGGGGAAUAUUGCACAAUGGGCGCAAGCCUGAUGCAGCGACGCCGCGUGAGGGAUGACGGCCUUCGGGUUGUAAACCUCUUUCAGCACCGACGAAGCGCAAGUGACGGUAGGUGCAGAAGAAGGACCGGCCAACUACGUGCCAGCAGCCGCCGUAA
rnacentral:rRNA from 1 species